GCAUAUCAAUAAGCGGAGGAAAAGAAAUUAACUAAGAUUGCCUCAGUAAGGGCGACUGAAGUGGCAAUAGCUCACCAUGUGAAUCUGCGUAAGCCGAAUUGUGGUUUCGCUUGUGUUAGGGGCUGGGCCAAGUCCGUUGGAACACGGCAGCUGAGAGGGUGAGACUCCCGUUUGCCUGGCCCUUGGAACAAGUGUGUUCGAGUCGAGUUGUUUGGGAAU
rnacentral:rRNA from 1 species